AGUUUGGGUCCUGCGCAACGUGAACCCGUGAACCCUGUCAGGUUCGGAAGAAAGCAGCAGUAAGCGGUCUUUCAUGUGUGCCGUAGGGAAGCCUGAAUUGAGC
rnacentral:SRP_RNA from 1 species